rnacentral:rRNA from 1 species
CAGAGGUCUCAAGCGUUGUUCGGAUUCAUUGGGCGUAAAGGGUGUGUAGGUGGCGCCGUAAGUCGGGUGUGAAAUUUCGGAGCUUAACUCCGAAACUGCAUUCGAUACUGCGGUGCUUGAGGACUGGAGAGGAGACUGGAAUUCAUGGUGUAGCAGUGAAAUGCGUAGAGAUCAUGAGGAAGGCCAGUGGCGAAGGCGGGUCUCUGGACAGUUCCUGACACUGAGACACGAAGGCCAGGGGAGCAAACGGGAUUAGAUACCCCGGUAGUCCUGGCAGUAAACGGUGCACGUUUGGUGUGGGAGGAUUCGACCCCUUCUGCGCCGGAGCUAACGCGUUAAACGUGCCGCCGGGGGAGUACGGUCGCAAGAUUA